rnacentral:rRNA from 1 species
AUUCUAGAACGGCGGAUGGUGAGUAAGGGUGGGUGACNUACCNUAAGNUGGGGAUAGCCAUUAGAAAUAGUGGUAAUACCGAAUGUGGUUGGAGAACUGUGGUUCUGCAAAGAAAGGGGUCCGGCCCCCGCCUUAAGAUGGGCCCGCGUCCCAUUAGCUAGUUGGAGAGGUAAGAGCUUACCAAGGCGAAGAUGGGUAGCCGCCCUGAGAGGGUGAACGGCCACACUGGGACUGAGAUACGGCCCAGACUCCUACGGGAGGCAGCAGCUAAGAAUAUUCCGCAAUGGACGAAAGUCUGACGGAGCGACGCCGCGUGGAUGAGGAAGGCCGAAAGGUUGUAAAAUUCUUUUGUUACUGAAGAAUAAGCGGGGGAGGGAAUGCCCCCGUGAUGACGUUAGGCAAUGAAUAAGCCCCG